rfam:Botryobasidium botryosum FD-172 SS1 unplaced genomic scaffold BOTBOscaffold_32, whole genome shotgun sequence.
GCCCGCCUAGCUCAAUCGGCUAGAGCGUCAGACUUUUACGGAAUUAAGUCCUUUAGGGCCGUGCUUACGUAAUCUGAAGGCUGCGAGUUCGACCCUCGCGGUGGGCU